rnacentral:rRNA from 1 species
GCUGGCGGCAGGCUUAACACAUGCAAGUCGAGCGGUAGCAGAUCUAGCUUGCUAGAUGCUGACGAGCGGCGGACGGGUGAGUAACGCGUAGGAACCUGACCCAGUAGUGGGGGAUAGCCCGGGGAAACUCGGAUUAAUACCGCAUACGCUCUACGAGGAAAGAGGGGCUUCGGCUCUCGCUAUUGGAUGGGCCUGCGGGAGAUUAGCUAGUUGGUGAGGUAAAUGGCUCACCAAGGCGACGAUCUCUAGCUGGUCUGAGAGGAUGAUCAGCCACACUGGGACUGAGACACGGCCCAGACUCCUACGGGAGGCAGCAGUGGGGAAUACUGCACAAUGGGCGCAAGCCUGAUGCAGCCAUGCCGCGUGUGUGAAGAAGGCUUUCGGGUUGUAAAGCACUUUCAGUGGGGAGGAAGGCCUCGUAGUUAAUAGCUGCGAGGAUUGACGUUACCCACAGAAGAAGCACCGGCUAACUCCGUG